rnacentral:lncRNA from 1 species
CCUCUCCAGGUGUUAUCACAAACAAUUACUCAGAUGAAGUAGAACACAUCUGACGAUUAGAAUAAAACUUGUGGAAAGGAGCAUAGGCAGAACAGAAUACUUCCUUCCAGAAUGUGUUGAGGCAGACUCAGUCUAGUUCCCUUGCUGCAUGUUAUACUUUCAUAUACAUCAGCGAUGAGAAGGUGAGGAGGAAGACGCGAGAACAGGGGGUGCUUAACGUUAACUGAGAACUUUCUAUGUGUCCACGAACAUGCCAAGAUUUUUGCAGGACCUGUCUAAGUCAACUUUCCAGACAAGCUUAUAAGGGAAACUUUGAGGAAAUGAGCCGUCACUGCUUGUCAUGAACUAUCAAUUAAUUUCUCAGCAAUUGUGUUGUCAACAAAUUUUCAAGACAAAUGUUUCAAUAAAUAAGUACCCAUCAAUUUUCAGUUCUCCAAAUUAUACUUUAG